ACGAACGCUGGCGGCGUGCCUAAUACAUGCAAUUCGAGCGGAAUGAUGAAGAAGCUUGCUUCUUCUGAUUUUAGCGGCGGACGGGUGAGUAACACGUGGGCAACCUACCUUGUAGAUUGGGAUAACUCCGGGAAACCGGGGCUAAUACCGAAUAAUCCAUUUUGCUUCAUGGCGAGAUGUUGAAAGACGGUUUCAGCUGUCACUAUAAGAUGGGCCCGCGGCGCAUUAGCUAGUUGGUAGGGUAAUGGCCUACCAAGGCGACGAUGCGUAGCCGACCUGAGAGGGUGAUCGGCCACACUGGGACUGAGACACGGCCCAGACUCCUACGGGAGGCAGCAGUAGGGAAUCUUCCACAAUGGACGAAAGUCUGAUGGAGCAACGCCGCGUGAGUGAAGAAGGUUUUCGGAUCGUAAAACUCUGUUGUAAGGGAAGAACACGUACGAGAGUAACUGCUCGUACCUUGACGGUACCUUAUUAGAAAGCCACGGCUAACUACGUG
rnacentral:rRNA from 1 species